rnacentral:rRNA from 1 species
GACGAACGCUGGCGGCGUGCUUAACACAUGCAAGUCGAACGAAGUGGCGAACGGGUGAGUAACGCGUAAUCAACCUGCCCUUCAGAGGGGGACAACAGUUGGAAACGACUGCUAAUACCGCAUACUGAAGGAGGGGAUUGCGUCUGAUUCGCUAGUUGGAGGGGUAACGGCCCACCAAGGCGAUGAUCAUUAGCCGGACGUAGCGUGUGAACGGCCACAUUGGGACUGAGACACGGCCCAAACUCCUACGGGAGGCAGCAGUGGGGAAUCUUCCGAAAUGGGCGAAAGGCUGACGGAGCAACGCCGCGGGAGUGAUGACGGCCUUCGGGUUGUAAAGCUCUGUUAAGCGGGACGCGGUACCGGAAUAGAAAGCCACGGCUAACUACGUGCCAGCAGCCGCGGUAAUUC